rnacentral:piRNA from 1 species
UAGGAUUAUUAAAGGUCUUUUCCCAAUCUG